rnacentral:rRNA from 1 species
AAUCCAUAGGUUAAUGAGGCGAACCGGGGGAACUGAAACAUCUAAGUACCCCGAGGAAAAGAAAUCAACCGAGAUUCCCCCAGUAGCGGCGAGCGAACGGGGAGGAGCCCAGAGCCUGAAUCAGCAUGUGUGUUAGUGGAAGCGUCUGGAAAGGCGCGCGAUACAGGGUGACAGCCCCGUACACAAAAGCGCAUGUGCUGUGAGCUCGAUGAGUAGGGCGGGACACGUGGUAUCCUGUCUGAAUAUGGGGGGACCAUCCUCCAAGGCUAAAUACUCCUGACUGACCGAUAGUGAACCAGUACCGUGAGGGAAAGGCGAAAAGAACCCCGGCGAGGGGAGUGAAAAAGAACCUGAAACCGUGUACGUACAAGCAGUGGGAGCACAGGUUUACCUGUGUGACUGCGUACCUUUUGUAUAAUGGGUCAGCGACUUAUAUUCUGUAGCAAGGUUAACCGAAUAGGGGAGCCGUAGGGAAACCGAGUCUUAACCGGGCGUUAAGUUGCAGGGUAUAGACCCGAAACCCGGUGAUCUAGCCAUGGGCAGGUUGAAGGUUGGGUAACACUAACUGGAGGACCGAACCGACUAAUGUUGAAAAAUUAGCGGAUGACCUGUGGCUGGGGGUGAAAGGCCAAUCAAACCGGGAGAUAGCUGGUUCUCCCCGAAAGCUAUUUAGGUAGCGCCUCGUGAAUUCAUCUCCGGGGGUAGAGCACUGUUUCGGCUAGGGGGCCAUCCCGGCUUACCAACCCGAUGCAAACUGCGAAUACCGGAGAAUGUUAUCACGGGAGACACACGGCGGGUGCUAACGUCCGUCGUGAAGAGGGAAACAACCCAGACCGCCAGCUAAGGUCCCAAAGUCAUGGUUAAGUGGGAAACGAUGUGGGAAGGCCCAGACAGCCAGGAUGUUGGCUUAGAAGCAGCCAUCAUUUAAAGAAAGCGUAAUAGCUCACUGGUCGAGUCGGCCUGCGCGGAAGAUGUAACGGGGCUAAACCAUGCACCGAAGCUGCGGCAGCGAACGUAUCACUUAAAGCGAUUCAGCGGGUUACGAUUGACGGAGCGAAGCGACGUCAAAGCGUAUACAAAGUCGAGUCGGUUUAAGGAUACGUUCGUUGGGUAGGGGAGCGUUCUGUAAGCCUGUGAAGGUGGCCUGUGAGGGUUGCUGGAGGUAUCAGAAGUGCGAAUGCUGACAUAAGUAACGAUAAAGCGGGUGAAAAGCCCGCUCGCCGGAAGACCAAGGGUUCCUGUCCAACGUUAAUCGGGGCAGGGUGAGUCGACCCCUAAGGCGAGGCCGAAAGGCGUAGUCGAUGGGAAACAGGUUAAUAUUCCUGUACUUGGUGUUACUGCGAAGGGGGGACGGAGAAGGCUAUGUUGGCC